AGUAAAGUGAGACAGUGAGGACAGAAGCAAAGUGAGACAGUGUGGAUAGAGGUAAAGUGAGACAGAGGUAAAGUGGAACAGUGAGGACAGAAGUAAAGUGAGACAGUGAGGACAGAAGUAAAGUGAGACAGUGAGGACAGAGGUAAAGUGAGACAGUGGUAAAGUGGGACAGUGUGGAC